rnacentral:rRNA from 1 species
UGUCGUCAGCUCGUGUCGUGAGAUGUUGGGUUAAGUCCCGCAACGAGCGCAACCCUUGUUAUUAGUUGCCAGCAUUAAGUUGGGCACUCUAAUGAGACUGCCGGUGACAAACCGGAGGAAGGUGGGGAUGACGUCAAAUCAUCAUGCCCCUUAUGACCUGGGCUACACACGUGCUACAAUGGACGGUACAACGAGAAGCGAACNCUGCGAAGGCAAGCGAAUCUCUUAAAGCCNGUUCUCAGUUCGGACUGCAGUCUGCAACUCGACUGCACGAAG